CCUACGGGGGGCAGCAGUGGGGAAUAUUGGACAAUGGGGGGAACCCUGAUCCAGCCAUGCCGCGUGUGUGAAGAAGGCCCUCGGGUUGUAAAGCACUUUCAGUGAGGAAGAACGCCUGGUGGUUAAUACCCAUCAGGAAAGACAUCACUCACAGAAGAAGCACCGGCUAACUCCGUGCCAGCAGCCGCGGUAAUACGGAGGGUGCGAGCGUUAAUCGGAAUUACUGGGCGUAAAGCGCGCGUAGGUGGCUUGAUAAGCCGGUUGUGAAAGCCCCGGGCUCAACCUGGGAACGGCAUCCGGAACUGUCAAGCUAGAGUGCAGGAGAGGAAGGUAGAAUUCCCGGUGUAGCGGGGAAAUGCGUAGAGAUCGGGAGGAAUACCAGUGGCGAAGGCGGCCUUCUGGACUGACACUGACACUGAGGUGCGAAAGCGUGGGUAGCAAACAGGAUUAGAUACCCCUGUAGUC
rnacentral:rRNA from 1 species